rnacentral:tRNA from 1 species
UGUACGGUGGUGCAGUUGGUAUCACUUUUUCCUCACAGCAAGAAGGUUCUAGGUUCGAAUCCCUGCAUGG